AACGAACGCUGGCGGCAGGCUUAACACAUGCAAGUCGAGCGAAGAGCCUUACUUCGGUUUGGUUUCUUAGCGGCGGACGGGUGAGUAACGCGUGGGAACGUGCCCUUAGGUACGGAACAACAGUUGGAAACGACUGCUAAUACCGUAUGACCCUCUUCGGAGGCAAAGAUUUAUCGCCCAGGGAUCGGCCCGCGUUGGAUUAGGUAGUUGGUGGGGUAAUGGCCUACCAAGCCUACGAUCCAUAGCUGGUUUGAGAGGAUGAUCAGCCACACUGGGACUGAGACACGGCCCAG
rnacentral:rRNA from 1 species